rnacentral:rRNA from 1 species
UACCAGCACCCCGAGUGGUCGGGACGUUUAUUGGGCCUAAAGCAUCCGUAGCCGGUUCUACAAGUCUUCCGUUAAAUCCAGCUGCUUAACAGAUGGGCUGCGGAAGAUACUAUGGAGCUAGGAGGCGGGAGAGGCAAGCGGUACUCGAUGGGUAGGGGUAAAAUCCGUUGAUCCAUUGAAGACCACCAGUGGCGAAGGCGGCUUGCCAGAACGAGCUCGACGGUGAGGGAUGAAAGCUGGGGGAGCAAACCGG